rnacentral:sRNA from 1 species
CUGACCCGUCCCGAGUGCCAAAGCUGGGGUUCUGCUUGAGAUUUCCCUCGUGGUGCCAGGGUCCGGCGAGCGUCACGCCGAGGCCCAUUUUCCAGACGACCACGACGACGCCGGGGUCACGAACUCUGGCGCCCCUUACCAGCUUCCAGUCUCUCGAGGUGGCCUGUGUGGUGCUUGGUCCUUGUUUCCAGGAUGGACUUCCCCGGCUCCCUCCGCCCUGCGUUGUUUCUGACCGGCCCCCUUGGUCUGAGCGACGUCCCUGACCUCUCUUUCAUGUGCAGCUGGCAAGACGCGCUGACUCUGCCAGAGGCCCAGCCCCAGAACUCAGAGAAUGGGGCACUGCAUGUGACCAAGGACCUGCUGUGGGAGCCAGCAACCCCUGGGCCUCUCCCCAUGCUGCCUCCCCUCAUCGAUCCCUGGGACCCUGGCCUGACUGCCCGGGACCUGCUUUUCCGCGGAGGGUACCGGUAUCGGAAGCGGCCCCGAGUCGUGCUGGAUGUUACUGAGCAGGUGAGUGGGCCCACGGGGGACAGUGCUGCGUAGCCUGGAGACUGUGCUUAGUGACCUGGCCUCCUCUUCUCCCCAGAUCAGCCGGUUCCUCUUGGAUCAUGGAGACGUAGCCUUUGCGCCCCUGGGGAAGCUGAUGCUGGAGAAUUUCAAGCUGGAGGGAGUGGGGAGCCGCACUAAGAAGAAGACAGUGGUCAGUGUGAAGAAGCUGCUCCAGGACCUCGGUGGACACCAGCCCUGGGGGUGUCCCUGGGCUUACCUCAGCAACCGACAGCGCCGCUUCUCUAUCCUCGGGGGCCCCAUCCUGGGCACGUCGGUGGCGAGCCACUUGGCAGAGCUGCUGCACGAGGAGCUGGUGCUGCGGUGGGAGCAGCUGCUUCUGGAUGAGGCCUGCACUGGGGGCGCGCUGGCCUGGGUUCCUGGAAGGACACCCCAGUUCGGGCAGCUGGUCUACCCUGCUGGAGGCGCCCAGGACAGGCUGCAUUUCCAAGAGGUCGUUCUGACCCCAGGUGACAAUCCCCAAUUCCUUGGGAAACCUGGACGCAUCCAGCUCCAGGGACCUGUCCGGCAAGUGGUGACAAGCACCGUCCAGGGAGAAAGUAAGGCCCUUACAUACACUUUCCUCCCUCAGUGGCUGACCUGCUACCUGACCCCUGACCCUUUCCAUCCCUCCUCAGCUCUGCUGGCCGUCCGCUCUGACUACCACUGUGCCGUGUGGAAGUUUGGUAAACAGUGGCAGCCAACCCUUCUGCAGGCAAUGCAGGUGGAGAAAGGGGCCACAGGGAUCAGCCUCAGCCCUCACCUGCCCGGGGAGCUGGCCAUCUGCAGCCGCUCAGGAGCCGUCUGCCUGUGGAGCCCUGAGGAUGGGUAUUGCCGCUUCCUGUGAAACCCCCCACCCUAACCAACUGAACUCCGCCCUGUUUAGCAUGUCACGACCCUUGAGCCCCUUCCCCAUCAGCCUGUCCCCCUGCCCAUGGCUUGCCUGUCUCCCCAAGGCUGCAGCAAAUCUACAAGGACCCUGAGACCCUCGUGUUCCGGGACUCCUCUUCGUGGCGUUGGGCAGACUUCACUGCGCACCCUCGGGUGCUGACCGUGGGCGACCGCACCGGAGUGAAGAUGCUCGACACUCAGGGCCCGCCGGGCUGUGGUCUGUUGCUUUUUCGUUUGGGGGCAGAGGCUUCGUGCCAGAAAGGGGAACGUGUCCUGCUUACCCAGUACCUGGGGCACUCCAGCCCCAAAUGCCUCCCCCCUACUCUUCAUCUCGUCUGUACCCAGGUGAGUGGCACACAACACCGCCCCGCCCCACCUCUGCUCUGUCUCAGAUGGUCACUAGAGGCUGCUGCUUACCAGCGGCUCUGCUGGGCCCAGACAACCACCCAGCAAACCAAACUCAACCCUGGAUGAAUCUGUGGCCCAAACACGCAGUGGAUCCCACAGUGGGUGCUAACAGGCAGGUGGGGAAGCUCUCCCAGGGCCUCCCCUUAGUAGAGCUUCGAGGUGCAGCCAGGGGUGGAGCAGGGGAGGAGGGGCCUCGGGGUGGGGCUUCCGUGCAGAGCUGGAGAGUUUCUGCUGUGCAGGAGGCGGGGGCUCUGAGGAAGCAGGUCUGUCCUCCACCCGCCCUCCCGGGGACAUUCGUAGGCGUGCCUCGAGCACAGGCUCCCAGGUCAGGAGAGUGGGGGUGGCUGCGGGAAGGCCAGGCAGGUUUCUGCUGGCAAGGCUCCCCCACACCUCUUCUGAGCACCCCUUUCCCACUUGUUCUGUCUGUCCACCGGACUGUCGGUCAGAAUUGGUGAAGGAAGCGGCACCUGUUCAGGGCUGGCAGGUGAGGUCUGAGAGGCACGUGGAGGCUGAUGGGAGAUGCUGCUGCCCCUCAGGGCUCUGCACUCACCUGGAGAGCCACAUGGGGCCUGGAGGGCCACUCCACAGCUCAGCUCCCAAGUUCGGCCACAUCCCCCUUCUUUCUCGGGCCCCAGUUCUCUCUCUACCUAGUGGACGAGCGCCUUCCCCUGGUGCCGAUGCUGAAGUGGAACCAUGGCCUCCCCUCCCCGCUCCUGCUGGCCCGACUGCUGCCUCCGCCCCGGCCCAGCUGCGUGCAGCCCCUGCUCCUCGGAGGCCAGGGUGGGCAGCUCCAGCUGCUGCACCUGGCAGGAGAAGGGGCGUCGGUGCCCCGCCUGGCAGGCCCCCCCCAGUCUCUUCCUUCCAGGAUCGACUCCCUCCCUGCAUUUCCUCUGCUGGAGCCUAAGAUCCAGUGGCGGCUGCAGGAGCGCCUGAAAGCACCGACCAUAGGUCUGGCUGCCGUCGUCCCGCCCUUGCCCUCAGCGCCCACACCAGGCCUGGUGCUCUUCCAGCUCUCGGCGGCGGGAGAUGUCUUCUACCAGCAGCUCCGCCCCCAGGUGGACUCCAGCCUCCGCAGAGAUGCUGGGCCUCCUGGCGACACCCACCCUGACUGCCAUGCCCCCACAGCUUCCUGGACCUCCCAGGACACUGCCGGCUGCAGCCAGUGGCUGAAGGCCCUGCUAAAAGUGCCCCUGGCUCCUCCUGUGUGGACAGCACCCACCUUCCCCCACCACCAGAUGCUGGGCAGCACAGAGCUGCGGAGGGAGGAAGAGGAAGGGCAGCGGCUGGGUGUGCUCCGCAAGGCCAUGGCCCGAGGGCGGCUCCUGCUGCAGAGAGACCUGGGCUCCCUCCCUGCGGCAGAGCCACCCCCUGCACCCGAGUCAGGCCUAGAGGACAAGCUCAGUGAGCGCCUGGGGGAAGCCUGGGCAGGCCGAGGGGCUGCCUGGUGGGAGAGGCAGCAGGGCAGGACCUCGGAGCCCGGGAGACAGACCAGGCGGCCCAAGCGCCGGACCCAGCUGUCCAGCAGCUUUUCGCUCAGUGGCCAUGUGGAUCCCUCAGAGGACACCAGCCCCCCUCAUAGCCCUGAGUGGCCACCUGCUGAUGCUCUGCCCCUGCCCCCCAUGACCCCGCCCUCCCAGGAGUUGACUCCGGAUGCAUGCGCCCAGGGCGUCCCAUCAGAGCAGCGGCAGAUGCUCCGUGACUACAUGGCCAAGCUACCACCCCAGAGGGACACCCCAGGCUGUGCCACCACACCUCCCCACUCCCAGGCCUCCAGCGUCCGGGCCACUCGCUCCCAGCAGCACACACCCGUCCUCUCUAGCUCUCAGCCCCUCCGGAAGAAGCCUCGAAUGGGCUUCUGAGGACACAAGGUGGGCUGCCCUCAAGCCCCAGAGAGCCCCUCAUCCUUCCUCCGGGACCAGAUGUGCCUUCCACAGUUGAAACUUGAGAAGCAGAGCUCGCCACCUUCUGGAGGCCACUGUGAUGAUGAGCCAAGCAAUUUGGAGCCAAGUUGAAGGGACAGGGCAACAAAAUACAGUAGUAGUUUCUUUUGUAUUUUGUAUAUUCGCCUGAAGAUCAUCCCGCAAGGCAGGCUGGAGGUGCCGGUGGGCCUGUGUUGCUGGGAUUUUAGUCUGUGCUGGGAGGCAGGGCUCCGCUGCGCCUCAGCUGUGGGGGCCUCAGGCAGGUCCCUCAGUUCUCACGCCUUCCUGUCCAGUGGAAUGGGGGCCAGUAGUGCUGGCUCCUCGUGUUUGGUGAGGGUGGAGUGAGGCCCCUGCAGAGCUGCUGAUGAGGUGGGCACAGCGGCCGUUGGCAGCUGCUGUUUUGGGUUGCUUUGUCAAUCUCUGCCCCGGUCUGAUGUUUUCUACAGGGAGAUGCCUUGGAUCCAGGUUCAGGGAUGAAAUAAACUUGUCAGCUGAAGAUGAAUUGGAAUGGUCACAUUUUUUAGGCUGGACAGCGUCCCACCACAGCAACUAUCUGACACUGAGCUCAUGCAGAGAGAUGAUGGCUGAUGACCCUUGGGACAUGGGUCUGGCACCUGUGGGCUGUCGAUAGUGCCCUCUGAGCAGAGGGUCACGGUCAUGUCAGUUUGGGGGAAUUCUCUGUGGUGCCUCACAGACUCCCCCCUUUCUUUCCUCCCUCCCCUUCUCAUUUUGAUGUCUAAAGCAUCAAGUCCCUCUUCCUCGGAGUUUCUCUAGCUGCAGUGGAAGAUUCUGUUUUCCUGUGGGGAAAAUGCUCACUUGAGAUGUUGCAGGGACCCGGGUCUGUCUGGUUUCUGAUGACAUAGUAAGAGAAAGGUCUUUUUUCAGGUUGGCUGGUGAAAGGAAUUGCAUGUGACUCACACAAACAGGAGCUAGCCCAAUCAUACACUGACUCGCGUGGGUGUUAAAAUGUUUAUCAUGCCUAAGGGAGACAUUUAUAAUUAAACCAUUUAUGCUACAUAU